GUGUAUGGCCAUGCCACCCUGAACACGCCCAAUCUCAUCUGAUCUCGGAAGCUAAGCAGGGUCAGGGCAAGUUAGUACUUGGAUGGGAUACCACCUAGCAGGACCAGGUGCUGUAGGCA
rnacentral:rRNA from 1 species